rnacentral:rRNA from 1 species
ACCUGGCUCACACCGGUUUAAACUCAGAUCAUGUAAAAUUUUAAAGGUCGAACAGACCUAAUUUAUUAGCCUCUACACCAAUAAUUUAUUUUAAUCCAACAUCGAGGUCGCAAUCUUUUUUUUCGAUAAGAACUCUAAAAAAAAUCACGCUGUUAUCCCUAAGGUAAUUUAAUCUUAUAAUCUAAAUUUUAGGAUCACACACUCAUAAAUUAAUGAUUUUAUACAAAAAAAAGUUUAUUAAAUUUUUUUAUCACCCCAACAAAAUAUACAUCAACUAAAUCAAAUUAGCAGUAAUUCUAAACAUUAAUCUAAUUUAUGUAUAUAAAACUCUAUAGGGUCUUCUCGUCUUUUAUACGUAUUUAAGCUUUUUAACUUAAAAAUAAAAUUCUAAUUAAUUUUUAUAGAGACAGAAAUCUUCUCAUCAAACCUUUCAUUCCAGCUUUCAAUUAAAAAACUAAUGAUUAUGCUACCUUUGCACGGUCAAUAUACCGCGGCCAUUAAAUUACUCAUUGGGCAGGUUAGACUUAAAAUUAUUAUCAAUAAGCC